GACAGAGGGGGCAAGCGUUGCUCGGAAUUACUGGGCGUAAAGGGCGCGUAGGCGGGAUGGCAAGUCGGUCGUGAAAUUCUUCGGCUCAACCGAAGAACGUCGAUCGAUACUGCUGUUCUUGAGGGUUGCAGAGGAGACUGGAAUUCCCGGUGUAGCGGUGAAAUGUGUAGAGAUCGGGAGGAACACCGGUGGCGAAGGCGGGUCUCUGGGCAAUUCCUGACGCUGAGGCGCGAAAGCGUGGGGAGCAAACGGG
rnacentral:rRNA from 1 species